rnacentral:tRNA from 1 species
UUGGGAGAGCACCUGCCUUGCACGCAGGGGGUCAAGAGUUCGAGUCUCUUUAUCUCCA